UAGGGGUAAAGAGAGAAAAAUUGGUGAGCGUCUUCUUUCAGGUAUGCGUUUCACUUUUCUUUCCUAACUAGCUACCAAGCUUAGGUUCCUGGAUUUUUGUACCACUAAAAAAAAAAAAUAGGCCCUUCUAUGGAAGACACAUUGGAAACCAGAUGAAGGCAACUGGCUCAAUAUCAUUAGAUUACAUUCUGCUUGGCUCCCUAAUAACAAUGUAGCCACUUCUCUUUUCUGUUU
rnacentral:lncRNA from 1 species